UCUAUGGAGAGUUUGAUCCUGGCUCAGGACGAACGCUGGCGGCGUGCCUAACACAUGCAAGUCGAACGGGCCUUUAUGAAUAGCUUGCUAUAAGUAAAGGCUAGUGGCGGACGGGUGAGUAACGCGUGGGCAAUCUACCCUAUUGACCGGGAUAACAGCGGGAAACCGGUGCUAAUACCGGAUAAGCUUGUCCCAAGGCAUCUUGGGGCAAGGAAAAGGAGGCCUC
rnacentral:rRNA from 1 species